AGUGGGAUAAUAUCCAAAUCCAUUACUUGCAAAAACAUGUAGAAAACAAGAGACCUAAAAGGAGACAACUGAUUCUUUUUGCAUGGAUGAAAUCAUGAGGCUUAUGGAACCAGACAGGAGCCAGACCAGUCAUGAAUUGAGUUCAGAGGAUUCCCAAUUAAACAAAUGUCUGUAUGGAUGUGUGUCUUUGUAGGAUUAACUGCAAGGAGUCAAAUAUUACUGUAAAUCCAGGAUAUGACAAAUGGGUGCCACAUGGCAUAUGAGCAACUGCUCCAUACUCCGGAUCAAGUGUCCAGUGCUCAAGAGAUGGCCUAAUUCCAGCAAGAAGGUGAUAAUUCAGUUUCUCAUAGGAAGAUACAAGCUGUCAUGAUCCCUUGCCAAUCACAUGAGAACUGACCUAGGGAGAACAUCAACUGAAGGUUGUCUUCUAACUGGAAAAUGAAGAGUCAAAAAGUCCUGAGGGCUUUCUGCCCUUCUCACUGAAAGGAAAAUGAACAGCCUGGUCAUAGGAUGAAUGUUGUCUUGGGUCACCAUCAAGAUCCUGACCUGCCUAAAUGAUGUCACACAAGG